GGUUAGAUUUCAAUAAUUUCUACAUGCAUUUGAUUUCCGGAAAGCGUUGUGAUACUUGAAAUUAAAUUGUUUACAAAAUUAUGACACUUUUUGUGAAAUAUUGGCAAUGUUUAUCAACUUCGAAUUAUCGCUGAACAACAUUUGUUGUUUACAUCGGAGAGAGCCGAGUGCGUCACAUGAUUUCAGUAUCCUCGCUUUCACCCGACGAAAAUGGAAUCGAGUCAACCUCAAUAUCAUCUUGAUUGGCAAGUCAGCAGAGCAUGCAGUCUAAUUAUAUAUGGGUAGAGGUCAAGGUGACAGGAGUAAAGAAAAUAUAGAAAUCGUGAAAAUUUAAGCAUUUUAUUGGUAAUCACUUUGUCUGUUUGCCCAUACACAUAAGCUGAAUUAUCUUAUUUCAAGGAAGUUGUUUUGACACCUGUGCAGUGAAAAGGUUUGAUAUAAAAUCAAAAUAAAUUACAUUACAUCAUUGAA